UAUAAUCGAUGUCCCAUUAUACUUUUAUUUGCCGCUAGAAAUAGUGGCAAAUAUAUUUAGAUUUCUACCAGCAAAAGUUUGGUUAAUUUUAGGCUGGUUUGCAGUGAUUGGAAAGAACUUGCUGAGAGAAAGAGUUGACGUGAGAAGGACGUUUGUUAGUCGAAUAUUUCAAUCCGAUCAAUUCUAGGCGAGGGCCGCGAUGCGAGUUGGAAGUAAAUGAAAUGAUGGAAGACAUUAAAAUGCAAAUUUGUCAUUUUCUCAAGAACUUUCAGUGGUUCCUGCAGCAGUUAUUAUCACAUGUCUUCCAAAACCAAAAAAAUUUGCUCUUAACAAAUUCAAGGAAAUUUGCAUCAAAUUUGCUCCAGCAUUGCCUAAGAACUGCAUGAUUUUUGUUGGUGCACACACUUUUAAUUCAUAUAGUCUAAUGGGGGAGAAUGGUUUCGACAACCAGAAGAAGUUGACAAUGAUGGUAGCAGGGUGAGGAUUUCUCUUCUGGUGGUGCCCGAAGUAAAGGAUGUCACCAUCACUAAGGUUUUGAUCAAUGCAAUAGAGUUACGAGGAGGAAAGAGUAUUGGUAUGAAAAACUCCAUCAAGGACAGAAGUUUGUAUUUUCAAUGGCAAACAACAAAUCAUUUAAUUGCAUGAUGAAAUUUUACGAGAUUUUCGACCAUGACGUUGUGCUUUGUGGUGGGAUAUUUCAGUCAGCGUCAAUUGUGAUUGAUAAUUGUAUGAAGUCCUAUGCGAUAUGUGCCUUAGCCUUCGGUGGAAAUGUUGACGUUUGCAGUGAUGUUAUAUCGUUUUUUGACUUUGAAUUUCAAAACACGAGGAAUUUUUGUCAGCUACGCGAAAUGCAGUUUUCUCGAUCGAGCGUUUGUUUUCUCCUGAAGGGUCAUUUUCUUUCCACAUGCCUCAUCCCAUCGAGACUUCGCGCGAAUUUCGCCGGGAAUUUCCUCACAUAAAAGUCUUUGGGUUUUCCGGUGAAAUCUAUUUGCAUCGCAUGGAUGACGUAGACUAUUUCCCAAGAUCUUACAUCCAAAGAAAUGACAGUGUGGUCAUGUGUGCCUUGAGCUUUUGACAAUAAUCAUAUGUUUCUCAUGAUAAAAUAAGUGAGGUGCUUAAUACAUGUUUUGUUGGUUUGAGUUAUGUAAAAUAGGAAUCCUUGUAUAAUAUCGACACUGUUUAAUACUUUACAUAUUUUUUCAAUAAAUUGAUAUUUUCUUCAAGUACA